AAAGUGAUGCAUAUAAAAUUCUUAGGGAGAAACCAUGAUGGCAGCAUAGGUAAACAACUGAAAUUGCUGCCUCACACAACCACUUCAAAACUACAAUUAAAAGACAAAACAGACAUCAUCCAGAACAACAGGAAGGCUGGCCGAGUGGAAAUUCUACA